UGCCUCUUCACCUACAUGUGUGCUCUACAUGGGACGACAGUGCGGGAAUCGUCGCCAAUGCUUUGACUUUGGGUCAGCGAAGGAAUUCGUGCCUCCCGUCACUAAACCACCCAGGUUGUAUCCUACUGGAGAACACGGAGAUCCUCCCAACGACCAUCGUGUUAUAUUCGGGUUCGGGACACGCAAACCAUCGCUCUUGGCGUUCCAUAUUGAACCGCUCCAGCCGGCGCCCACUGGUACUGAUCAGGCCUGCCGAAACGCGCCCUGACCAGCGUGGCCGACUGCAGCUUUGGACGUAGCCUAACAGGAAACUCUAGAAGGGCCCGUGAAUCCAGCAUUCAAGGCCCGGAAGCUGUUCUGGAAGACGGCCUGUCGCAAGCAGGUGGAGAAGACCCGUUCGAUGAAGUCGGGUGCAAAUUCAACUGUAUCUCGGAGGCCGGAACAGGCAAUACUGCAGGGGACGAAGACGAUGUUGCGCAACAUGAGGCAGUAACCUGGCGAAGACUGCAAGCAGGUGUCCUUCGCCUGAAGGGAAUCUAUUUUCCGAGCUCUUGGCUAAGUUUGCACUUGCGUUUCGGCGUUAUUCCACAUGACAGCACGUGCACGACAAGCAAGAUUACACGAAGACGGCUUGGGACUGCGGUAUGCCUCAAAUUGAGACAAGCAUUGCUGUCGUUAGGAGGAAAUAACUGUCUUGUUCAACCGCUCAUUAGGCCCAGAAAAAUGAUGUGCUGACGUCCCCUUCUACGCUGCCGUCAAAAAGAACACACUUGCCAAACUGUCCACCUUGAAACAAGAUGAGGUCAAGUGGCCGAAGCCCAUAGCGCUGGUCAGAUUGGGCACGGACAUUCGGACCGUCAUCACCAGGCGGAGGAGUGAUUCAACUCGACAGGAGCAUUACAGCGCCUAGAGUACCCGUCCAUAAACAGCGAUUCGAGCAGCGACCACGUGUUAAUUUUCAUAUUGGACGAAGUUGUGCAAUCGCUGCCUGUUCGACUGCAGCCUCACCGGAAAUGAGGGAAAGCUGGGAGAGGGAAAGGUAGGAGGUGUGAGGGAAGGAGGAAAGUCAGCAACACCAUUGCCCUCCAUUCCCCCACGAAACGCACUGGUCGAACCGCGCAUUGUCCGGCGAGUGACCAUUGUCCAUCCCUCGCCGGCUUCAUGGAAUCCAUUCGGCGUCGCUGAAGGCCAAUCCAUGGCAGUCCCACUUUCUGCGGCGGAGUUUCCUCAGGCCAGCUUGCUGUCGAAGCUGGACAGGGCGAUGGCGAACGCCUGCAGAGCACACAGUGGGUAGCAGUAGUCCAUACUGAAGCACUCUUCGGUCACUCUGCCAAACUGCAUCACGAUGUAGUCAGCUGCGAAAGACAGAAGGAAUGCGAUAGCGCCAGGUCGGCACACUCACGUAGACCACGGCUCCGAUCUCGGAGCGG